rnacentral:rRNA from 1 species
UACGUAGGGUGCGAGCGUUGUCCGGAAUUAUUGGGCGUAAAGAGCUCGUAGGCGGUGUGUCACGUCGUUCGUGAAAACCUGCAGCUUAACUGUGGGCGUGCGGUCGAUACGGGCAUCACUGGAGUUCGGCAGGGGAGACUGGAAUUCCUGGUGUAGCGGUGAAAUGCGCAGAUAUCAGGAGGAACACCGGUGGCGAAGGCGGGUCUCUGGGCCUGUUCUGACGCUGAGGAGCGAAAGCGUGGGGAGCGAACAGG